UACAGAGGUCCCAAGCGUUGUUCGGAUUCAUUGGGCGUAAAGGGUGCGUAGGCGGUGGGGUAAGUUGGAUGUGAAAUCUUGGGGCUUAACCUCAAAACUGCAUUCAAUACUGCUCCGCUCGAGUUCUGUAGAGGAGAUUGGAAUUUACGGUGUAGCAGUGAAAUGCGUAGAUAUCGUAAGGAACGCCAGUGGCGAAAGCGAAUCUCUGGGCAGCAACUGACGCUGAGGCACGAAGGCCAGGGGAGCAAACGGG
rnacentral:rRNA from 1 species